AAAAUACUAACCUUGAUCUAAGAGCGUCUAUCUCUGCAUAAGUGGAGAAAAUGAUGCAUUUUUAGAGGUUUCUGGGCUUGGGGAAGAAGAAUGGUCGUCAGACAGGAGCAGAAGACCUGAAAGAUUGGUCUGGCCUCGCUUCACUCCAGGCGCCCUGUGCUGCACUCCUCCUUGAGCUGUAAGCCUCUGGGCGGUGGUGGAAAAGCAAUCGCCUGCGUCGUGACAGUUCCUACCUACUAAAUUGAAAAUUUGAAAAUCAGAGACGGCAGGCCCACCCAAGGUGUCUACCAACAUCGUGGACCACAGGGCUUUUUGCAAGCCCAUGGGAAAGACAGCUGAGAGACUUCGGAGUGCGUCCUGUCUCAGGCUGUGCCUCUCCUGCUCAAGGGAAGCCUUGAGUGUAUCUCCCUAAAACAGAUGGGGGCAGGGAAGGGGUCUAGAUCCCGUGGAGCCAGGCCUUGAUUGGAGGUCCGGGGCUGGAGAGAGGGAACACCAACCCGCCCUGACCCCCACAGCUUCCACUCACCCGAAGAGCUGCCUAAUUGGGCUGCGAGCAGCUGCGAAAUUUGUAAUCGUCUAAUAAGCCUUCCGCCUCGGUAAUUCUUAUCAAAAGGCAUAAAACUGAUAUUUUCACACUCAGCUCUCACUGCAGGCGCCGUUUAUAAACAUCCUUCAUCAGUGGGAUGAAAUUAAGCCUGCAUUGACAGAGGUCUCUGGAACUCGAUAUUUAAAAGCAAUAGAUCCGAAUUAGCAAAUUAUAACUUUAAGUAGGGAAAGUCCCCACCAACUUGACUAUUGAACCCUUUGCCUCUGAGCUCCUUGGGGUAAGUAACCACACGUUUGAGAGAACUUAACCUGGAGGUUCUGCGGUGCUCAGGCAAUCUCCGGAAACUCGGAUUCCCGAAACUGCGCCUGCUACAGCUCCUCCCGCCCGCCUUCUAGGGACUCGCCUGGGUCAGACCUGUGGAGACCGGGGCGAGGCACAGCUGGAGCCUGAGAGAAAACGUGGUCAAAGGAGGCGCAUCCAGGACUCCCGGGCGGCCUGCAGGCGCAGAAACAGAGCCCUGCUCUUGCGGACCCGAGCUUUCCCUGGCCCGCGGCCAUCACCGCCCACCUCUAGGGCACCAGCGCCAAGGGUACAGUGGGCCAUAGGACUGUAGGAGGCGGUGGAGGAUGGGGAGACUUUCGCGAUCAUAAGAAGGUGCAGAUUCUGGCAGAAUUCUGGUUGGCGACUCCUUCGAUCCCUGAAGGUGAAAUCUCAGCUAAAACCACUCUGAAACUGUGGAUGUCACACUUGGUUCAGGGUUAGGAGACCGUGUCUUUGGAUUUUUGCCCAUCACGUGUAACCAUGAAUCUGCAUAACCCCUCAGAGAUGGCAGAGCUGUAUACGGGCUCACCUUGGGACUUACCGGUCCCAGACUCCGUUUUAGACCUUGCUACCCACAGUUUCUGAGGGUAAGAGAGGGGUGCUUUUAUUCACGCCAGUGGAGGUCGCCAAAAGCGGGCGAGGGCCUCCGUCUGGGACCCACUGGUCUCUCUCCCACUGUGGGCCAAGACUGAGGUUUGAUGGGCUUCCCAGCUGGGCAAGCCUGCUCCGCGCGGGACACCCGGGAAUCCACUGGCGGGCAGACCCUGCCUUCGCCACCCGCCCCGCGGCAUUCCUCACUGCGGUCUGAUGUGCCAGCUGGGGCCAGUUGUUUCAAGCGGUUCUGGAGGACCAAUAGCGGAAAGCCAAGUUCUGGGACCAAGAGUCUGUACCAGUGACUCGGUGUUUCUUUUCAGCCGGUUCGCAGAGCGCCAGUAAGCUCUCCCGGUCCGCUACGGAAGAAAUAGGGGAAGCGUUUCCAGUCUAAGAGAGAGGAUGGGAGAGAGAAAAUUAGGAACCACGCGGAGCCCGAAAUUAAGCAGGGCAGCCUGGAAAGCUUCCCGGCUAAAAGCUAUGGCGCGAAACGCUAAAGUCCAUCACACCAUUUAUUCAUUGUGACAUUUCCAAGCCGACAAUAGCGCCUUAAGCACGCCUGUGGUUUGGAGGUGCCGGUUUUAUAUGCAUUUUACUGUUUAGAAUGAUAAACAAAUCAGGACCAAUGGAAACCUGAUUCUAACCUC
rnacentral:lncRNA from 1 species